rfam:Camelus ferus isolate Naran unplaced genomic scaffold scaffold2177, whole genome shotgun sequence.
GAGGGUAUAGCUCAAGUGGUAGAGUGUAUGCUUAGCAUGCAUGAGGUCCUGGGUUCAAUCCCCAGUAUCUCCA